rnacentral:rRNA from 1 species
GACGAAGGUGGCGACCGUUGUUCGGAAUCACUGGGCAUAAAGAGCACGUAGGCGGGUGCGUAAGUCGGGUGUGAAAUCCCUCGGCCUAACCGAGGAAUUGCGCCCGAUACUGCGUGUCUUGAGGGCAGGAGGGGAGCGUGGAAUUCCUGGUGGAGCGGUGAAAUGCGUUGAUAUCAGGAGGAACACCGGCGGCGAAGGCGACGCUCUGGCCUGCUUCUGACGCUGAGGUGCGAAAGCCAGGGGAGCAAACGGG